rnacentral:lncRNA from 1 species
GGUUUUAUUAGUUAAUUCCGAUGGAAUAUCCUUCGGAAAUAAGUCCCUCGGAGUUAACUUAUCCUCGACGGGCAUUCCCUCGAAAAUAACGAUAAUUUCGCCGAAGUUAGUUUUCGCGCUGGCGGAAAACUUGGCGCCAUUGAGGGCCUUCUACUUCCGACGGAAUUCCAUCGUGCUUAGCAUAUUUUCGAGGGAGUUAUAU